rnacentral:rRNA from 1 species
CCUACGGGUGGCUGCAGUAGGGAAUCUUCCACAAUGGGCGAAAGCCUGAUGGAGUCACGCCGCGUGGGUGAUGAAGGUCUUCGGAUCGUAAAACCCUGUUGUUAGAGAAGAAAGUGCGUGAGAGUAACUGUUCACGUUUCGACGGUAUCUAAUCAGAACGCCACGGCUAACUACGUGCCAGCAGCCGCGGUAAUACGUAGGUGGCAAGCGUUAUCCGGAUUUAUUGGGCGUAAAGGGAUCGCUGGCGGUCUUUUAAGUCUGAGGGUAAAGUCUUGGGCUUAAACGGAGUAGUGCAUUGGAAACUGGGAAACGUGAGUGAGAUAGAGGAAAGUGGAACUCCAUGUGUAGCGGUGAAAUGCGUAGAUAUAUGGAAGAACACCAGAGGCGAAGGCAGCUCUCUGGGUUGAAACUGACGCUGAGGUUCGAAAGCGUGGGGAGCAAACAGGAUUAGAUACCCGAGUAGUC